AGCUUUUGGACUGCUGAAAGCCCAACAGGAAGAGAGGUUGGAUGGGAUCAACAAGCACUUCCUCGAUGAUCCCAAGUACAGCAGUGAUGAGGAUCUGCAGUCCAAACUGGAGGCCUUCAAGAGUGAGGAGACUGGGGGGGGGGAGCUGGAGGCUGGGGGCUCAAAUCGUGGCAAGGCUGGCUGGCUGUCCUGCGGAAGGAGGGAGGUGCCUUCAAGCUCCUCCUUCCCAUUGGUGGUCCUUUGUCCUGCUCUCCCCAUCUUAGCAUCCCCGCCCCCAGGCUCCCUCACAAGCCUCUCUCCCCAUGCCCUCCUUCUGUAUCUUCUACCCUGGCAUUGCUCAGCUGUCUCUACCGCAAACCCCCACAAUAGCAAUUAUACUCUCUGCUCUCUUUCUCACCCAGCGAAGUACAUGGAGUUUGAUCUGAAUGGCAAUGGAGAUAUCGAUAUUAUGUCCUU
rnacentral:lncRNA from 1 species